rnacentral:rRNA from 1 species
CCCUUAGAUGUUCUGGGCCGCACGCGCGCUACACUGAUACGAGCAACGAGUUUAUCACCUUGACCGGAAGGUCUGGGUAAUCUUUUGAAAUCGUAUCGUGCUGGGGAUAGAUGCUUGCAAUUAUUCAUCUUCAACGAGGAAUUCCUAGUAAGCGUGAGUCAUCAGCUCGCGUUGAUUACGUCCCUGCCCUUUGUACACACCGCCCGUCGCUCCUACCGAUUGGAUGGUCCGGUGAAAUCUUCGGACUGCAGCAACGCAGCUGGUUUUCCGGCAGUGUCGCAGCGGGAAGUUGCUUAAACCUUAUCAUCUAGAGGAAGGAGAAGUCGUAACA